AUGCUCUCAGCACAUAUACUAAAAAAUUAGAAUGAUAUAGAGAAGAUUAGCAUGGCCCCUGGGCAAGGAUGACAUGCAAAUUUGUGAAGUGUUCCAUUUUUAC